UACUUCUAAAUCUAAACUUUAGAAGAGGUAUGUCCAAACAUGCCUGGUUAAAUAAACAUUAAAUGGCAAAUGGGUUUUCCAGUAGCCAGUUUAGAUAUUAGAGUUCUUGAUAUUUGCUUUUCUGAAUGACUAUAGUGUCAUUUUGGAGUAAAUAUAAUAUAAUUUUACACAGUCAGUUAUAUAUACAUGACAUUGUAAUAAUUAACUUAAUAACUGUAAAAAGAUAAUACAAGCAGUGCCACACAUAAAGUAACAGAACUCAAUAUUCUUGUUAUGAAUAUAUGCUGUGGUUAUGUGGGUAGUCCUAUUACAAUUUUUUUUCUUCAGUCAAAUUAUCUCUCUUUUUAUAUCUACUUAAUGAGUAAUAAUGUCCCUGUGGAUUAUGUGGCCUGCAGUCUGGGCUUGUAAAACAUUACUUUACUACUGUGUGUACAUAACGGUUACUCAUCUGAAUUUAACCCUUUUUAACUGCAGUUUUUCCUAACCUUUUUUUCUAUACCUCAUUGGCACAAUCAGGAGGAAACAGAAACGUGUAUUUUUUUUUUUUUUUCAACUUUAUUGUUGGAACGUUUAUUAAUAUAUAACAGAAUGUAUAUGAGAAAAAUCUGUUAAAAUGUAGUUUUGAAAUUAAUGACUUAAAAUAUAACAAUUCUGUUUUUAUUUAUUUAAGUACAAGUAAAAUGAUCCCCAGUGGUAGAUUACAAAAGGAAAGCAAGUGUACUUUGACUGGAAAAUAAAUAUUAGUCACGGCUGGAUAUGUUUGCCCAAAUCUUUCUUGAUUUUGUAUUGAUGUUUAAAUAUGAUUGGCAGUAAGCUUCUGUUGACAAAGCUUGUCAAGUGUAGCUAAGUGUUGCUCCUCAUGAAAGUGGUGUAAACACUUGGGCUGUAAUUUAGCUCUUAGCGUUAGUCAUCUGCUGAUAAUACAAAAUGUGUCUGUGUGCUUGUCUUGUACAUGUCAAAAUUGAGAAACUGGUCUAUUUAGACAAGGAUGUUUCAAACUAAAAUUUCAGAGAAAAAGUGUGUUAACAGAAAAACUUCUGUGGUAAAAACUAAAUUAUUUGAAUUAAUUUAAUAAUAUUUUCCAGAUACCGCAUAAUUCAGUAUCCUAUUAAAUCUAUUUCCUUUGGCUUUACAACAGCAUAAAUACUACUUUUUUUUUUUUUUAUUUAUUUAUUUUUUUUUUUCCAAUAGCACAAUUUUCUUACAUAUAUGGCUGUUCUUAGUUUUAAAGACUCAAAAGUGUAAAAUGGAUGUUGGUCUCAAUUAGUAUUAAAUCAAUUAGUAUUCAUGUGCUGUCAUACUUUCUUUGGGCAUCUUAGCAUUUUGCCUUAGCAGGGCAGCAUAAUCAUCUCUAUGUUUAUUUUUGUAACUGUUCAAAUGAACCUAGUAUACUAAUUUGUUUUGUCCAUGUCUCUUUCAGCUGUGGCCGUGCUGUUGUGCAUCAUACUGUCAGCAGAACCAUCUGAUGUCCUGCGAUGCACAGGGGAGAGACAACGCGAUGGGCAGCUCUACUUCAACAUGUCAUAUGGCCUUAAAGAGGACGUCGAUGACUGCGAGACCCAAUGGGUCAUCAAUGGAAGCGUGGCAGGGAUUUCUAAUGCUGAUGGAAAUAUUUUCAUACCCCCACUUGUAAUGGCAACAGCAAACACUGCCAUCUUACAGACCUGCCCUGAAAAACUUGAAUGCCUGCUCAUCUGCCCCUCCGCCAGUAUCAACACUAGGGAACAGUGCUCUUGUGAUAUCACUUCUCCGACUACACUUCCUGAAGUUGGUUUUCCUGGCCAGAUCGUUGGUGCUGGGAUUGGAGUGAGUGUAUCCGUGAUUCUGUUGUUCUAUGUCACCAUUGUGCUUUACAAGAAAAAAAAAAGGUCAGGAUAUGCUCCAGGUCGUGCUGAAACUGUUUGAUUCUGGAGACGUUUCAUCUUCAGUAAUUCAUUAGGAACUGUACUCUUCUCUUUUAAAUUGUAAGGCCAUAACCAUGUCUUGAACAUUAAAGACGGGGGUGGGGGGUGGGCAAACUAAUUUUGAGUUUUUAAGAAAAUAAAUAAUUAAAGGGUAUAAAGGGAUUUAAGGGAAUAAAUGUGCAUCUACAUAAGUGUGUACAUAAAUCACAGACAUUAUAGCUAUAUAUUUUCAAUUCUGAACAGUGAAAUUUGGCCAUUUUUAAAGAGGGACUUGUCCCCCUCAAUGUCUAUGGUGGUUACAGCCCUGUUUUAUAGCAUUAGCUCUAUUAUUCUGCUUUUGUUGAUUACAUUUAGCAUCGCAUUGCUUUAUAGCUUGUAGGAUUUUUUGUUUGUUUCUCUAAUUAAAUUAUGACUCUAUGAAUUAUGUCUCAAACCUAAAUGAAGCUACAUGAUGAAAUAAUGCUAUUAGUUUAUAUUAUAGAAUUAUAUAUUUAAUACUAAAUACUUUUAUAAAUACUAUAUGUGUCCUCAUGAUUAGCACAAAUGAAAACAAAUGAUUGAAAAUACUUUUAAAAUUGUAUUGAAAAUAUUUUAUCAUAGAAUUAUACACUGAAUUAUAUUGUAACUUGGUAUAUUUAUCUUAUAGUAUAACUUAAUACAUUAAACUGUAUUAUUUGUAUUAUUAAUAUAUAUAUAUAUAUAUAUAUAUAUAUAUAUAUAUAUAUAUAUAUAUAUAUAUAUAUCUAUCACUGGUCUAGUCAGUCUGUGGGGAAAGAAUUGGUGGAUUGCAUGGCACUAUAGUGAGCAUAAAAUGUGUGUGAACAUAAGUAACUAUAUGACCAGGGCAAGUAUUUGUAUAAAUUUCUGCUGUGGAAGCAAAAUGAAAUGAAAUGGUUGCCAGUGAGUUCACAAAUCGAAUACAUGUAAAAUAACCUACCCCCCACCCCCACCCCCCUCACACACACACUAAAAAAAAGGGGGUAAAUAUACUUUAACAACAUGAUUUACAUGAAAUAAAUAUCCCUAUGUGCUAUGCCAUCGGCUAAAAAAUUAUUUUCUUCCUGUACUGUAGCCUUUUAUUUAUAUAGCUGCAGUAUCCUUUGUGGGAAAGGAUACUGGCACUGCUAGAUUUGAUCAGAUUUGUAUCAAAUGUCUGUUUAAAGCAUUAUGUAUAUCAUAAAGGAUGUUUAGUAAUCAGGGCCAUCCUUGGGGGGUGCAACUGGUGCGAAUACGAGUACGAACAGACCAAGGGUGGACCUACUGCCUACCUCGCACCGGGCCCCGCGUCAGCUAAGGACGUCCCUGUUAGUAAUAUUUGCUUAGCUAUUGUAUUGCACAGCAUUACUCUACUCUUUGUAAUGACUUCUUCCUUUUAAGCACUUAAACGCUUUCUUUUGGGGCAUUUCUGUUAAUAAAAAUCUUAUAUAAGAACAUUUGAGUGUGUACCUGAUUUAUUUUUCUACACCACAGAUAAGUUUAGAAAAAGUCAGCAUCUG
ensembl:lncRNA